rnacentral:lncRNA from 1 species
AUAGGCUUUCAAGUAAAGUGAUGGAACACAAUCCCUGGAGACAUUCUAAAUAAAGGAACAAUGGACUAGAAAGUGUUUUGCAGCGAGGAAUUCUGCAUUGAUGACUGGAGCUAGAAGGGGGCAGGGAAAUGGGACGAUGACCAGAUGUGGCCCAUGGCAAGGCCGUGCAUUGUGAAGGGAGGAGGAGGGUCUGAGAUCCGGGAGCCCUGCAGAGAGUUUGCUGAAGAGUGAAGAAAGGACGGCGUUAGUAAUGGGAUGAGGGAUACUGGAGUCCGAAUUAACAUAGCACACAGAGAGAUAUUCAGGAAAAUACAUCAUAUCUUGCACUUGGGUGGAAAAGAGCAGAAAUCCUUGGUUAACAGGAUUAUACGCAAUGGUGCAGAAAGCAUUCUCUAAAGAAAAAUCAGAGAGGAAGAAACACUGCAUGGAGAAUCCAAGAAACACUCUAAGAAUUGAAGUUAAAAUGUCGGAGGAGGCCUCGUAUGUCUUCUUCUAGGAGGACUCUCAGCUGAUGUUGGUUUUUUUAGUCUGUAUGAGCGAUGGACAAGCUGUCACUACCCAUUAGAUUUUGGGUGGUCCCAGGGGACCAUCCCAAGUUUGAGGAAAGUUGGCAAUGGAAAAAGGAGCAUCUGAUAGGAGCAGUCAGUGAAGUCCUUGGUUCUUACAGAGGCAGAGAGCAUGCUGUUCAGGCGCAGAUGCUGGCGUUGGACACACCCAGAUGUCAGUGUGAAAAGAAAAUAAAAUUCCGGGACCCCAAACUCAAUACACCAAAGGGAAAAGGAAAGCUUGGAAGCUGAGUCACACAAAAAAUCGGUCUUUUGUUUCUAAAUAGACAGCUACAAGAUAAAAGGACACAUGUCUCUCCAGGUGGCCUCCCUCACCUUGACAGUGUGAAUUAACAGCUUAUCUUCAUGGACAUGGGACAAGAGGAGACUGGAAAUCAUCUCCCACACCACCCUCUCCAAGACAAAUUCAUAUUUAACUUCUACUUCUGCUCUGUUGACUUUAUCCUAUGUAAAGUACAGAUUUACUGAGCACGAGA